rnacentral:rRNA from 1 species
UACGGAGGGUGCGAGCGUUGUCCGGAAUCACUGGGCGUAAAGGGCGCGUAGGCGGCCCGCUAAGUCGGGGGUGAAAUCCUGAGGCUCAACCUCAGAACUGCCUUCGAUACUGGCAAUCUCGAGUCCGGAAGAGGUUGGUGGAACAGCUAGUGUAGAGGUGAAAUUCGUAGAUAUUCGCAAGAACACCAGUGGCGAAGGCGGCUCACUGGCCCGGUACUGACGCUGAGGUGCGAAAGCGUGGGGAGCAAACAGG